GUAAAAACUCGGCACCCCUUGCUUCCUUCCAGUUCUACUAACUUAGUAUCUCGCUUGUUGUACCAGAUUGGGUUGAUCUGACCGUCUGAGCUAUUUUCCUAUUGGGUUGGAUGAUGAUCACAAUCACAUGAGCUUUUCUCUGAGCUGAGAAGAAAAUGAUGUAAAACUGUCUGUCCAGGUUUGGGCCAUUGGGACCAAUUCAUCAACUCCUUGGGGCUGUUGAACAUGAAUAUGAAAAUUAAAAGCUAAGUGAGAGGGUAGCCAGGCUAUCUGGUGGUGUUGCUAUUAUUCAGGUUGGAACACGAACUGAAACUGAGCUUAGGGAAAAUAAAGUGAGGGUUGAAGACUCACCGAAUGCAACAUAGGUUGUUGGUAAAUUGACAAGCAUCAGGCUGCAUAUUCAGCGAACAUGCGUGUGGUCGGAGAAUCAAGAAGCUUAUCUACAUGCGAGUGUAGAACUGGUCCAAGGAUCAAUUCAUUUUUUUCCUUCAUAUACAAAUUUUUGAAAGCCCGUGUGCCGUUAGUUCUGUAGUAGCACAUGUGUUGUUUAUUCUUCUGUAAAAUAAACAGUAGUUAUGAUAUGUCGGCACCCUUCUGUUUGU